rnacentral:rRNA from 1 species
GAGUUUGAUCGUGGCUCAGAUUGAACGCUGGCGGCAUGCCUUACACAUGCAAGUCGAACGGCAGCAUGAUCUAGCUUGCUAGAUUGAUGGCGAGUGGCGAACGGGUGAGUAAUACAUCGGAACGUGCCCUGUAGUGGGGAUAACUAGUCGAAAGAUUAGCUAAUACCGCAUACGACCUGAGGGUGAAAGUGGGGGACCGCAAGGCCUCAUGCUAUAGGAGCGGCCGAUGUCUGAUUAGCUAGUUGGUGGGGUAAAGGCCCACCAAGGCGACGAUCAGUAGCUGGUCUGAGAGGACGAUCAGCCACACUGGGACUGAGACACGGCCCAGACUCCUACGGGAGGCAGCAGUGGGGAAUUUUGGACAAUGGGCGAAAGCCUGAUCCAGCAAUGCCGCGUGUGUGAAGAAGGCCUCCGGGUUGUAAAGCACUUUUGUCCGGAAGAAAUGGCUCUGGUUAAUACCUGGGGUCGAUGACGGUACCGGAAGAAUAAGGACCGGCUAACUACGUGCC